GCCUCGCGGUUCUUUAAGCAAGGAGUAUCUUGCUGAGUGUUCGUCAGUACACCAUGUCUGUGUGCAGUGGACAAAUCGAAAGGUUAGAUAAAUUAGAAUGUUGCGCCUGGUUGGAAUACAACAUCCUGCAUAAAGCCUCAAAAGGUCAGAUAAAUUAGAAUGUUGCACCUGGUUGGAAUACAACAUCCUGCAUAAAGCCUCAGCAGGUUGAAAAACUGAGAAUGUAGCAUCUGCUUGUUAUAAGCAUUUGGAACCAAUCUGUACCUGGUGCUGAAUGGAAAAUGUGAAGUGGGAAAAUGACAUAUCUUUCAUGCUACAAGUCCCCAGCUUGGACAGCUGAGAACAUGGCUCCUGGUUGAAAUGGAGCAACUGGAGCAACAACAAACCUUCAGAUGGUGAAUGGAAAGUGAGAGCUGUGAAACCUUGCAAUAUCAGAAGUACUUGGGUAUGCAGGCUCGUGCAUCUCAUUGCUACUUCAAUUUAAAGACCAAUACAGUAAAAUCUGGCUGUCUGUCUGCUUAGGAGCAGAAGAAAAGCUCUCCAUGAAUGCAAAGCUGUCAAGCAAGCCUUGUGUACUACCUUGUUUAUGAAUAAUAUAAAUAAAAUUGUGUAAGGACGAUACAACAAA